AACAGGGGUCAUCGUUACUUACUGUUUUGUUAAAAACUACGAAAACAAUGGUGAAAAACUUAAGAGACAGACUUUGCAUGCUAAGGUGCAAAGUCAAAAGGGAAACAGCCCAGUUUGUUCAUUAAGGUUCCAAACAAAACAAAAGUAAAAGAAAACUAAAAUUCCAUAAUCACAAAAAGAUAAGCUUGGAAGCAGCUAUUCUUGAAAAAGGUCGUAACAGAUUAUUUGUGAAGAAUUUUUUUUUCUAAAAUGUAGCGGA
rnacentral:rRNA from 1 species